CACGUAGGGGGCGAGCGUUAUCCGGAAUCAUUGGGCGUAAAGGGUGCGUAGGCGGCCUUUUAAGCGCGGGGUCUAAGGCGGUGGCCCAACCACCGUUCGCCCCGCGAACUGGAGGGCUAGAGUGUCGGAGAGGGAAGCGGAAUUCCUAGUGUAGCGGUGAAAUGCGUAGAUAUUAGGAGGAACACCAGUGGCAAAGGCGGCUUCCUGGACGAAGACUGACGCUGAGGCACGAAAGCGUGGGGAGCGAACAGG
rnacentral:rRNA from 1 species